rnacentral:rRNA from 1 species
GAUGAACGCUGGCGGCGUGCUUAACACAUGCAAGUCGAACGGUGAAAGAGAGCUUGCUCUCUGGAUCAGUGGCGAACGGGUGAGUAACACGUGAGCAAUCUGCCCCUGACUCUGGGAUAAGCGCUGGAAACGGCGUCUAAUACCGGAUACGAGCUGCGAAGGCAUCUUCAGCAGCUGGAAAGAACUUCGGUCAGGGAUGAGCUCGCGGCCUAUCAGCUAGUUGGUGAGGUAACGGCUCACCAAGGCGUCGACGGGUAGCCGGCCUGAGAGGGUGACCGGCCACACUGGGACUGAGACACGGCCCAGACUCCUACGGGAGGCAGCAGUGGGGAAUAUUGCACAAUGGGCGAAAGCCUGAUGCAGCAACGCCGCGUGAGGGACGGCGGCCUUCGGGUUGUAAACCUCUUUUAGCAGGGAAGAAGCGAAAGUGACGGUACCUGCAGAAAAAGCACCGGCUAACUACGUG